GCAACCCGCCAGAGGACUACAAGUGAAAAACUUAAAACUCUAAGGACUUGACGGUGUCCUACCCGUACUAGAGGAGCCUGUCCUAUAAUCGAUACCCCACGUUCCACCUCACCCCUCCUCGCCACUCAGCCUAUAUACCGCCGUCGUCAGCUUACACUGUGAAUACACCAUAGUAAGCAAAACCACCACACAUAAAAACGACAGGUCAAGGUGUAGCUAAUGGAGGGGCAGCGAUGGGCUACAUUUUCUUUACUAGAAAACACCACCCGCACCAUGAAACUCUUUGCUACAAGGCGGAUUUAGAAGUAAACCUUGGCAAGACAUGCCAAUUUGAAUAAGCCCCGGGACGA
rnacentral:rRNA from 1 species